rnacentral:lncRNA from 1 species
GGUGCCCACCACCAUACCCAGCUAAUUUUUUAAUUUUUUAAAGAGACAGGGUCUCACUACAUUUCCCAGGAUGGUCUUAAACUCCUGGCCUAAGCAUUCCUCCUGCCUCAGCAUCCCAAAGUACUGGGAUUACAGGCAUAACAUUUUCUUUUCUCUAGCUUAUUUUAUUGUAAGAAUACAGUGUGUAAUACAUAGAAUAUACUUCAUAUGUGGUAAUCUGUUUAUGUCAUCAGUAAAGCUUCUGGUCAACAGUAAUUAAGUUUACAGGGAGUUAAAAGUUAUACAUGAAGGCUGGGUGCAGUGGCUCAUGCCUGUAAUCCCAGCACUUUGGGAGGCCGGGGUGGGCGUGUCACCUGAGGUUCGGAGUUUGAGACCAGCCUGACCAACAUGGAGGAACCCUGUCUCUACUAAAAAUACAAAAUUAGCCGGGCAUGGUGGCACAUGCCUGUAAUCCCAGCUACUCGGGAGGCUGAGGCAGAAGAAUCACUUGAACCCGGGAGGCAGAGGUUGUGGUGAGACAAGAUUGUGCCAUUGCACUGCAGCCUGGGCAACAAAAGCGAAACUCCAUCUCAAAAAAAAAAAAAAUUGGGGUAUUAUUUCCAUAUAAUAAAUUAUACACUUAAAGUGUAAAAUUCUAUGAAUUUUGACAGAUAUACCAUAUACACCUGGGAAACCACCACCACAAUCAAGAUACAGAACCUUUCCAUCAUCCUCUUGUACCCCUUUGCAAUCAAUCUCUCUCUCCACUCCUGACGUCCAAGCAACCAUUGAUCUGCUUUCUGUCACUAUAGAUUAGUUUACCUUUUUUAGAAUUUUCUUUUCUUCUUUUCCUUUUUUCUUCUGAGACAGACUCUCAUUCUGUCACCCAGGCUGGAGUGCAGUGACGCCAUCUCGGCUCACUGCAACUUCUGCCUCCUGGGUUCAAGCCAUUCUCCUGCCUCAGCCUCCUGAGUAGUGGGGAUUACAGGUGCGUGUCACCACGCCCAGCUUUUUUUUUUUGUAUUUUAGUAGAGGCGGGGUUUCAUCAUGUUUGCCAGGCUGGUCUCAAACUCCUGACCUCAGGUGAUCUGCCCACCUCAGCCUCCCAAAGUGCUGGGAUUAUAGGCGUGAGCCACCACGCCCAGCCCCUUUUAUCUUCUCUUCCUCUUUCUCCUUUUUUUUUCCUCCUCCUCCUCCUUCUUUCUCUUGUAUUUGUCCAUUCUCCUUUUUCCUUAACUUAGUCUAUUCUGUGUAUUUUCUAAGUACCAGGAUUCUUAUUUGUUUGUUAAUGCUAAGUGUGGUGGUGGUAAACCCUGCAUGCUGUAGUAUGACAGUUACUAGACUUUGACUGAGUGGUGGCUGUCCUUUGUAGGCCAGGGUUCACAGUAGGGAAUGCUACCAGAGAACUGAGCUCCCUGAUGUUAAUGGUGAUAGUAGGACUUCAGAGUAACAGUGGCCAGGUGGCAACAUUUUACCAUCAUAGUUUGUGGUGUUUUCUGUCUCCUAAUUAUGCUGUAAGCAUGGAUUGUGUGUGUGUGUGUGUGUGUGUGUGUGUUGUUUGUUUGUUUUGAGACAGUGUCUUGGUCUGUUGCCCAGGCUGGAGUGCAGUGAUGCAAUCUUGGCUCACUGCGGCCUCAACUUCCCAGGCUCAAGUGAUCCUCCUGCCUCAGUCCCCCUGAGCAGCUGGGACUACAGGCAUGCGCCCCCACACCCAGCUAAUUUUUUUUAAUUUUUAGUAGAGACACGGUCUCACUAUGUUGCCCAGACUGGUCUUGAACUCCUGGACUCAACCAAUUCCCCCCACCUUGGCCUGGUAUUACAGGUGUGAGCCACCAUGCUCAGCAAUUAUGUGUAUUCUUCCCCUUCUUUCUCUCUUCAUUGACAAAAUGAUUUUAGGAGCGUGUCUAGAAAGGCUGGACUUAUGCAGCUGCCGUUAUCCUAUGGGGACUGCAAAUGUUACUUGUUAAUGCAGUAAAAUGUUGAAGGGGUUUGUAGAAGACACUGUUGGCAACUUACCUGUAUCCGUCACUUUUACCAUUUCAGUGUACACACUACCGUUUUCAGCUGCCAGCAUCUGCACUUCUUGCCUGAGGGCUUUCUUUGCUGCUUGACUACAGUUUUCCACUCCCAUGGCAGUUGGAAGUGCUGGGGAAUUCAAGCUCCAUCCCACAGCAGCUCUAAACAAUAACUGGCAAGACUCUGUGUCUGAAUACCACAGCUCCCUCCCAUCUGGGGUGAGAGAACUCUGAGGCAUGUAGUUUACACUGGCUCCCAGAGUCCCCCCAGCAGAAUUCUGCUCCAGAGAUAAGCCUGAUAACACAUGCCUCUAUUGGCCACCUUCCCUUCCUUGUCUCCCUUUCCCACUCCCCAACCAAUGUUUUCCUUCACCUCCCAGUAAAUUCCUGUACACAGAUCCUUGUCUCCGGGUCUGCUUCUGGGAAAACUGAAACUAAGUUAGAAUUCUUCUGAGAUUUUUAGAUAAGGAUGUCUGCUAUUCUAUUACGAUUCAGCAUUUUACUCUAGGUCUUUAGCUAUGUACUAAAACAAGAAAAGGAAUGAAAGAAAGGUGGAAAGGGAGGAAUAAAACUUUCUUUUUAUAUUAUUUGUUAUGUAGAAAAUCCAAAAGUUAUACUAUUUGAAUUAAUAAGUUAUUUAUUUAUUUAUUUUUGAGACCGAGACUCGCUCUGUCACCCAGGCUGGAGUGCAGUGGUGUGAUCUUGGUUCACUUCAACCUCUGCCUCCAAGGUUCAAGCCAUUCUCCUGCCUCAGUCUCCCGAGUAGCUGGGACUACAGGUGCACACCACCACACCCAGGUAAUUUUUGUACUUUUAGUAGAGACAGGGUUUCACCAUGCUGGCCAGGAUGGUCUUGAUCUCCUGGCCUCGUGAUCGGCCUGCCUCGGCCUCCAAAAGUGCUGGGAUUACAGGUGUAAGCCACUGCACCCGGCCGUAAUGAGAGAGUUUAUCAAUACAGCUGGCUGAAAAAUCAACAUACAAAUAUCAAUUUUAUUUCUACAUACCAAUAAAAAAUGGGUAGAAAACGAAAUUUUUAAAAGGUUUACUUCUACAAGCAUAAAAAUCAAGUAUCUGUCAA